AUUGAACGCUGGCGGCAUGCCUUACACAUGCAAGUCGAACGGUAACAGGUCUUCGGAUGCUGACGAGUGGCGAACGGGUGAGUAAUACAUCGGAACGUGCCCGAUCGUGGGGGAUAACGAAGCGAAAGCUUUGCUAAUACCGCAUACGAUCUACGGAUGAAAGCAGGGGACCGCAAGGCCUUGCGCGAACGGAGCGGCCGAUGGCAGAUUAGGUAGUUGGUGGGAUAAAAGCUUACCAAGCCGACUAUCUGUAGCUGGUCUGAGAGGACGACCAGCCACACUGGGACUGAGACACGGCCCAGACUCCUACGGGAGGCAGCAGUGGGGAAUUUUGGACAAUGGGCGAAAGCCUGAUCCAGCCAUGCCGCGUGCAGGAUGAAGGCCUUCGGGUUGUAAACUGCUUUUGUACGGAACGAAAAGACUCUGGUUAAUACCUGGGGUCCAUGACGGUACCGUAAGAAUAAGCACCGGCUAACUACGUG
rnacentral:rRNA from 1 species